GUAACGCGNGGGUAACCUGCCUCAUACAGGGGGAUAACAGUUAGAAAUGACUGCUAAUACCGCAUAAGCGCACAGUGCUGCAUGGCACAGUGUGAAAAACUCCGGUGGUAUGAGAUGGACCCGCGUCUGAUUAGCUAGUUGGUGGGGUAACGGCCUACCAAGGCGACGAUCAGUAGCCGGCCUGAGAGGGUGAACGGCCACAUUGGGACUGAGACACGGCCCAAACUCCUACGGGAGGCAGCAUG
rnacentral:rRNA from 1 species